ACGAACGCUGGCGGCGUGCUUAACACAUGCAAGUCGCACGGAAAGGCCCUGCUUUUGUGGGGUGCUCGAGUGGCGAACGGGUGAGUAACACGUGAGUAACCUGCCCUUGACUUUGGGAUAACUUCAAGAAACUGGGGCUAAUACCGGAUAGGAGCUCCUGCUGCAUGGUGGGGGUUGGAAAGUUUCGGCGGUUGGGGAUGGACUCGCGGCUUAUCAGCUUGUUGGUGGGGUAGUGGCUUACCAAGGCUUUGACGGGUAGCCGGCCUGAGAGGGUGACCGGCCACAUUGGGACUGAGAUACGGCCCAGACUCCUACGGGAGGCAGCAGUGGGGAAUAUUGCACAAUGGGCGGAAGCCUGAUGCAGCAACGCCGCGUGCGGGAUGACGGCCUUCGGGUUGUAAACCGCUUUCGCCUGUGACGAAGCGUGAGUGACGGUAAUGGGUAAAGAAGCACCGGCUAACUACGUG
rnacentral:rRNA from 1 species